UACGGUGGAUGCAAGCGUUAUCCGGAAUGAUUGGGCGUAAAGCGUCCGCAGGUGGCUGUGUAAGUCUGCUGUUAAAGAGUGAGGCUCAACCUCAUAAGAGCAGUGGAAACUACAUGGCUAGAGUGCGUUCGGGGCAGAGGGAAUUCCUGGUGUAGCGGUGAAAUGCGUAGAGAUCAGGAAGAACACCGGUGGCGAAAGCGCCUUGCUGGGUCUGCACUGACACUGAGGGACGAAAGCUAGGGGAGCGAAAGGG
rnacentral:rRNA from 1 species